rnacentral:rRNA from 1 species
UACGUAGGGGGCUAGCGUUGUCCGGAAUCAUUGGGCGUAAAGAGCGUGUAGGCGGCCCGGUAAGUCCGCUGUGAAAGUCGGGGGCUCAACCCUCGGAUGCCGGUGGAUACUGUCGGGCUCGAGUACGGAAGAGGCGAGUGGAAUUCCUGGUGUAGCGGUGAAAUGCGCAGAUAUCAGGAGGAACACCUAUUGCGAAGGCAGCUCGCUGGGACGUUACUGACGCUGAGACGCGAAAGCGAGGGGAGCAAACAGG